AUAGCUCAGUCAGUAAGAGCGUGGUCCUGAUAAUACCAAGGUCACGGGUUCGAUCCCCGUU
rnacentral:tRNA from 1 species